AUGAACACCAUGCCGUCAGAAAAUGCUGAAAGGAGGGGAAGCGUGCUUGAUAAUCCGCAAAAGCAGCUGGAUGAGUCUGUCCUCGAUAUGCAACUUUAUGGAAAAGCUCUAGAUGUGUUUGAGGAUGAUCCUGCUACCUCUGGCAUAUUACACGAUCAUCUGCUAAGAACUAUGGGUACUCCAGUAGCCGACAAGAUUUUAUUUAGUCUGGAUAAGGACAACAAAUUGAAGAAUGGAAUGGAGUUUGAAGGCAGUGAAGAACAGCAUGUUCAGCUCAGCACUACGGAGCGUACUUUUCUGGCGAAGGAUCUUCCAGGGCAAUUGUCAUCGAAGGCUCAAGCUUUAGUCGAAGCACUGGAGGGAAAGCGGUUUGAUUCAUUUAUGGACGCCUUAAGAGAUACAGCAGAGGAAAGUGGAUUGUUAUUUAAGAAGCUUGAUGAAAGACUUGAGCGAUCAAUGCUGCAUUCCCACCACAAGGAUUUGAUAGCACAAGUUUCUUCAGAAACUGAUCCAGUUUCCUUCCUCCCAAAAGUUGCUGCUCUACUUUUUCUCCAGGCAUACAACAAGGCUCUUCAGGCACCUGGAAGUGCUGUUGGUGCUGUCAUCACACUACUGAAGGACAAGCUACCAGCUGCAACCUUCAAGGUUUUAACUGAAUGUCACGCCACCACCGUGAAACUUCUCGCACUACAAGAUGCUGCUACGGGUGAUGAAGACGAUUGCACAUCGGACCGAAUGCUGGAGAAGAAGGAAGACCUAGAAGAGAGGCUGAUGCCAGAACUCAAAUCCCUGGCCCUCGGCACGAGCAAAGAGCAGUGA
rnacentral:rRNA from 1 species